rnacentral:rRNA from 1 species
AUUGAACGCUGGCGGCAGGCCUAACACAUGCAAGUCGAGCGGAUGAGUGGAGCUUGCUCCAUGAUUCAGCGGCGGACGGGUGAGUAAUGCCUAGGAAUCUGCCUGGUAGUGGGGGGACAACGUUUCGAAAGGAACGCUAAUACCGCAUACGUCCUACGGGAGAAAGCAGGGGACCUUCGGGCCUUGCGCUAUCAGAUGAGCCUAGGUCGGAUUAGCUAGUAGGUGAGGUAAUGGCUCGACCUAGGCGACGAUCCGUAACUGGUCUGAGAGGAUGAUCAGUCACACUGGAACUGAGACACGGUCCA